rfam:Myotis davidii contig67088, whole genome shotgun sequence.
GGUGGUUCUGGGGUGACGCACCCCGGAAUCGGGCUCUUUCUAGUUCCAGGUGUAUCACCCGAGAACUGCA